AUUACUCCUACGGGAGGCAGCAGUCGAGAAUCUUUCACAAUGGGGGCAACCCUGAUGGAGCGACGCCGCGUGGAGGAUAAGGUCUUCGGAUUGUAAACUCCUGUCAUGUGAGAACAAGGUUGCAGGGUUAAUACCUUUGCAAAUUGAUGGUAUCACAAGAGGAAGAGACGGCUAACUCUGUGCCAGCAGCCGCGGUAAUAAU
rnacentral:rRNA from 1 species